AACGAACGCUGGCGGCAUGCCUAACACAUGCAAGUCGAACGAAGCCUUCGGGCUUAGUGGCGCACGGGUGCGUAACGCGUGGGAAUCUGCCCUUGGGUUCGGAAUAACAGUUAGAAAUGACUGCUAAUACCGGAUGAUGUCUUCGGACCAAAGAUUUAUCGCCAAAGGAUGAGCCCGCGUAGGAUUAGGUAGUUGGUGGGGUAAUGGCCCACCCAGCCGACGAUCCUUAGCUGGUCUGAGAGGAUGAUCAGCCACACUGGGACGGAGACACGGCCCAGACUCCUACGGGAGGCAGCAGUGGGGAAUAUUGGACAAUGGGCGAAUGCCUGAUCCAGCAAUGCCGCGUGAGUGAUGAAGGCCUUAGGGUUGUAAAGCUCUUUUACCAGGGAUGAUAAUGACAGUACCUGGAGAAUAAGCUCCGGCUAACUCCGUGCCAGCAGCCGCGGUAAGAC
rnacentral:rRNA from 1 species